rnacentral:ncRNA from 1 species
CUACGGACUUGAUUGUAUCGAGCCUUGGUAUGGAAACCUGCUAAGUGGUAACUUCCAAAUUCAGAGAAACCCUGGAAUUAAAAAAGGGCAAUCCUGAGCCAAAUCCGUGUUUUGAGAAAAGAAGGGGUUCUCGAACUAGAAUACAAAGGAAAAGGAUAGGUGCAGAGACUCAAUGGAAGCUGUUCUAACGAAUCGAGUUAAUUACGUUGUGUUGUUUUUGUGCAUCCAACUCUGAAAGCACAUGGCAACCUCUGCUUCCCUCUGCGAAGGGCCUAUCUUUUACUAUUAUCUUCUACCUUAUGCAAGAGUCAUGGUGAUCUUCACCUUUCCUUUUUAUAUUUUAUCCUUUGGCAAGCACAGUGUGUUGGAAAGAUCCAG